UUCCAUGUAGGUGAACAAUAUGAUUUUUAAUGAAUCAAUAUUUUGUAUUCACUAUAUUCUUUGUUUAGGCGGGGAAGAUACAAGGCCAGGGAAUAACAGACCGUUUUCUUUAUGGCACACCAUGUGCCUGAAAAAACCCUGUGCACGCCUAUGUGGACCAGGCUUUAGAACCAGAACACUACAAUUUGAGUUCAUACGGCGACAACAAGUAAUUAUCACUCUUGCACGCAUGAUAAUGUGGCAGUCGUUAUCAAGAUAAUUAUUUGUCGCCGUGUGAAUUGGACGAGUAGUUCACGACAAUAUAUUACAAUGGCCGGUUGCCAAUUUCACAACUCUCGAGACGCAAAAUAAUAGUACAUUAGUUACAUAGUAACUAUUAUCAUACAGUUGGUCGGUUUUUUGUUGAAAUUUCACACGAAAUUCUCAAAUGUAUAACAAAAUGAAAAAAAAUUGCUACG